UGAGAGUUCGGAAGCUAUUCCCUUU
rnacentral:piRNA from 1 species